UACGUAGGGGUCGAGCGUUGUCCGGAGUUACUGGGCGUAAAGGGCGCGUAGGCGGCUUUGUGCGUCACCCGUGAAAGCCCCCGGCUCAACCGGGGAGGGUCGGGUGAAACGGCGGAGCUGGAGGCAGCGAGAGGCUGGUGGAAUUCCCGGAGUAGUGGUGAAAUGCGUAGAGAUCGGGAGGAACACCGGUGGCGAAGGCGGCCAGCUGGCGCUGACCUGACGCUGAGGCGCGAAGGCGUGGGGAGCGAACGGG
rnacentral:rRNA from 1 species